UACGGAGGGGGCUAGCGUUGUUCGGAAUUACUGGGCGUAAAGCGCACGUAGGCGGCUUUGUAAGUUAGAGGUGAAAGCCCGGGGCUCAACUCCGGAACUGCCUUUAAGACUGCAUCGCUUGAAUCCAGGAGAGGUGAGUGGAAUUCCGAGUGUAGAGGUGAAAUUCGUAGAUAUUCGGAAGAACACCAGUGGCGAAGGCGGCUCACUGGCCCGGUACUGACGCUGAGGUGCGAAAGCGUGGGGAGCAAACAGG
rnacentral:rRNA from 1 species